rnacentral:rRNA from 1 species
AUGCACGCUGGCGGCGUGCCUAGUACAUGCAGGUCGAGCGAACGGACGAGAAGCUUGCUUCUCUGAUGUUAGCGGCGGACGGGUGAGUAACACGUGGAUAACCUACCUAUAAGACUGGGAUAACUUCGGGAAACCGGAGCUAAUACCGGAUAAUAUUUUGAACCGCAUGGUUCAAAAGUGAAAGACGGUCUUGCUGUCACUUAUAGAUGGAUCCGCGCUGCAUUAGCUAGUUGGUAAGGUAACGGCUUACCAAGGCAACGAUGCAUAGCCGACCUGAGAGGGUGAUCGGCCACACUGGAACUGAGACACGGUCCAGACUCCUACGGGAGGCAGCGGUAGGGAAUCUUCCGCAAUGGGCGAAAGCCUGACGGAGCAACGCCGCGUGAGUGAUGAAGGUCUUCGGAUCGUAAAACUCUGUUAUUAGGGAAGAACAUAUGUGUAAGUAACUGUGCACAUCUUGACGGUACCUAAUCAGAAAGCCACGGCUAACUACGUG